UUGCCGCCUUGGCACAGAGACUGGACAGAGUUGCCAUCUAUGAGGAAUUCCUGUGGCUGACCCAGAAUGGUACCCAGCUGCAGAACUUGACCCUGGACAGGAAGAGUGUCCUUGGGGAUGAAUAUUCUCCCAACAGAGAUGACACCUUGACUGAGAAGCCUGGUAAACCUGCAGGAAGCCCCAGCCCACGGUAGGGGGCGAGUAUCUUGAUGCUGUGCCUCAUCGAAGAGAACCAUGCGCACAGGGUCUUGGAUGAUGAGGAAAGUUGGCCAACCCUUGUCAAGGAUGGUUGAGGCACAGUGGGGUCAGCAGGAGCCCUGGGGCAAUGACAGGAGGUGGCUCAUCCCAGCACUUGUCUCCGCAGACCACCCCGUCUGGGCUCUCAUCCUCAUCUGCUUGGCGGGAAUCCUGGUGCUCAUCACAGGCCUCAUCUGCUGUCUCCUGGAAAACAUUUUAACCCUGCUGUUCCCAUGAUGUCACAAGGACUAGAGUGUUGGGGAGGACUGAGAGCACACUCUUCCUCUGGAGUAUGUUAGACUCUAAGGGUCCAUGACACAGGAGUGGGGAACAUUUCAUUCAUCGAGGAUUGAGCCUCUCGUGCUGGGUGUUGAAAGAAACACCAGUGACGUCCCCGUGUAUUCACGUGGAGUAUCUGACAGUCAGUCAUUGCAGGAUUACAGAAGGAAGGGCAGUUCAGAGGGGAGGCCCCGUGGAGGCAGGCAUGGAGGAGCGCGUGGUGACUGACACCGAGAGCUUGUGACCCGGACAGGUGGCAGACUCUGUUCGGUCAGAAGACUCUGCCGACUGCAGUGCAUAGAAAUCCACGUCCGUCCACGGGAAGUCGCAGGACGAGAACACCGCUGACAGGAAGUCACCUGUCAGAGCGUGCGGCACGAGUGGUGAGAAUGUUGAGUCUGAACCAAGGUCGUGGUGUCACAGUGGUGGAAAGGCCACUGGAGGUGAAAGAAGCAGACCUAGAGUCAUUUCCAAGAACAAACUGGAAGGUUUAUGGGACCAAUUAGGCAGAGAUCCUGAGGAGGAGAGGUGAAGAUGUGCAGUGGUUUCCGGCCAGGAAGAAGAGUGUUCCAUGGACGGUGAGGACAGAUGCGUGCUGGGCUUCUCUGAGGGCUGGGAAGACGCACGGGGAGCUUGAUUUUAGACAUGACACAAGUUCAGUGAUGGUGC